UUAAUGUUUAAUGAGGUUGUGUUUAGGAUGGGUUAGAGGGGGUCGGCUGGGCUAUCUGCGUGUGAUUCGGGAGAGGCACAUGGGCAUCUUGGUUUGGGUCGGCAAGGGGGAAGGGGCAUCUUGCUAUGUGGAGGGAGGAUCGGGCAUUAUGGUAUUGGUCUAGAGGGAGGGAUGGGGCAUCUUGGUGGGGUCUGACUGGCUGGAUAGGGGCACGCUGGUGUGGGUCUGGCUGGAUGGGGCACAUUGGUGUGGGUCUGGAGGGAGGGAUAGGGACGUGUGGGUCUGGAGGGAGGGAUAGGGACGCAGUUGUGUGGGUCUGGAGAGAGGAUUGGGGUACAUUGGUGUGGGUCUGAAGGGAGGGUUGGGGAACAUUGGUGUAGGUCUGGAGGGAGAGAUGGGGCACAGUGGGUCUGGAGGGUGGCAUGGGUCAUCUAGGUGUGGGGUGGGAUGGGCAUCUGGUGUGGCUCUAGAGGGAGGGAUGGGGCACAUUGGUGUGGCUUUGAUGGAGGGUUGUACAUUGGUGUGGGUCUGGGGACAGGGAUGGGGCAUAUGGGUGUGGGUUUGGAGGGAGAGAUAAGGCACAGUGGGUCUGGAGGGUGGCAUGGAUCAUCUAGGUGUGGGUUGGGAGAGUGGGAUGGGCCAUCUUGGUGUGGGUCUGGAGGAAGGGGAUGGAGGCACAUUGGUGUGGCUUUGAUGGGAGGGAUGGGGGACAUUGUUCUGUGUCUGGGGAGGGAUGUUUCAUCUAGGUGUGGGUCUGGAAGGCGGGAUGGGGCAUAUUGGUGUGGGUCUGGAUGGAGGGAUGGGCACAUUGGUGUGGGUUUGAUGGGAGGGAUGGGGGACAUUGGUCUGUGUGUGGGGAGGGAUGGUUCAUCUAGGUGUGGGUCUGGAUGGCCAGAUGAGCAUGUGUGAAUAGGACCCGAAAUGGUGAACUAGGCCUGUAGUGGUCCUGAUUUGUAAAUCGGUCAUCCAACCUGGGUAUAGGGGCAAAUGACUAAUCAAACCAUCUAGUAGCAGGUUCCCUCCGAAGUUUCCCUCAGGAUAGCUAGCGCAUGGAAAACCGAGUUUUAUCUGGUAAAGCGAUUGAUUAGAGGUCUUGGUAAGCAGAACUGAAGCUGUGGGAUGAACCGAAAGCUAGGGUAAGGCGCCUGAUGCCGACGCUCAUCAGACCGCAGAAAAGGUGUUGGUUGAUAUAGACAGCAGGAUGGUGGCCAUGGAAGUCGGACUCUGCUGACGAAUCAACUAGCCCUGAAAAUGGAUGCUGCUGGAGCGUCUGGGCCAUAUCGAGCUGGCGCUGAGAGCCGCGGGGGCUAAGCCACGACUAGUAGGAGGGACGUUGCGGUGCGCACGGAAGCCCGGGUUGAGUGCCCAGGUGGAGCUGCUGCAGGUCUUGGUGAUAGUAGCAAAUAUUCAAACAAGAACUUUGAAGGUCUAAGUGUAGAAGGGUUUCAUGUGAACAGCACUUGAACAUGGGUCAGUCGGUCCUAAGAAAAGGUCGAGCGCAGGUAUGGGCGUUGCCCUCAGCCAAUCGAAAAGGUGUCAGGUUCAGAUCCCUGAACCCAGAGUGGCGAAGAUGGGUGCCCUCGCAGCAUACAGUGUAUUAACGCAAACGAUCCCAGAGAAGCUGGCGGGAUCCCCAGGGCGAGUUCUGUUUUCUUUGUGAAGGGCUGGGCACCCUGGAGUGGGAUGCCCCAAGAGAGGGGCCCGAGCCUUGGAAAGCGUUGCAGUUCCGGCGGCGUCCGGUGAGCUCUCGCUGGUCCUUGAAAAUCCGGGGGAGAUGGUGUAAAUCUCACGCCGGGCCGUACCCAUAUCCGCAGCAGUUCUCCAAGGUGAACAGCCUCUGGCAUAUUGGAACAAUGUAGGUAAGGGAAGUUGGCAAGUCGCAUCCGUAACUUCAGGAAGGGCUAGGUUGGUAAGGCUGGUGCGAAGCAGGGCUCGGCAUGCACUGUGGCUGGACAAGCUGUCUCCUCCCCGGGGGCAGCGCCGACUCUGGGUGUGUGCCAGGCCCUUCCUGUGGAUCGCCCCAGCUGAAGUGGUCACCUCUCGCUAUUCCACUCCCGGGGUUCUGGGCCGGCGUUCGGCCUCGGCCGACGCCUAGCAGCUGACUCAGAACUGGUGCGGACCAGGGGAAUCCGACUGUUAAAUUAAAACAAAACAAAGCAUUGUGUAAAGCCCACGGUGGGUGUUGACACGAUUUCUGCCCAGUGCUUUGAAUGUCAAAGUGAAGAAAUUCAAUGAAGCGCAGGUAAACAGCGAGAGUAACUAUGACUCUGUUAAGGUAGCCAAAUGCCUCGUCAUCUAAUUAGUGAUGCACAUGAAUGGAUGAACGAGAUUCCCACUGUCCCUACCUACUAUCUAGUGAAACCACAACCAAGGGAACGGGCUUGGCAGAAUCUGCGGUGACAGAAGACCCCUUUGAGAUUCACUCUUGUCUAGCACUGUGAAGAGACAUGAGAUGAGAGGUGUAGGAUAAGUGGGAGGCCCUCGGGCUGCCUGUGGAAUACCACUAGUCAUUGUUUUUUCACUUACCCAGUGAGGGAGCCCUGUGGGACUCUUGAUUCUGUCUCCAAGCGCCCGCCGGGCACAAGUCGCUUCCGGGACAGUGGCAGUUAGGUAGUUUUACUGGGGCGGUACACCUGGCCAACCAUAACGAAGGUUUCCUAAGGCGAGCUCAGGGAGGACAAAAAUCUCCCACGGAGCAGAAGGGUAAAAGCUUGCUUGAUCUCGAUUUUCAGUACGAAUACAGACCGUGAAAGCAGGGCCUCUGACUUUUUGGGUUUCAAGCAUGAGGUGUGAGAAAAUUUACGAGAGGGAUAAUUGGCUUGUGACGGCCAAGUGUUCAUAGCGACGUCACUUUUUGAUCCUUCGAUGUCGGCUCUUCCUAUCAUUGUAAAGCAGAAUUCACCAAGCGUUGGAUUGUUCAUCUGCUAAUGGGGAACAUGAGCUUGGUUUAGACAGUCGUGAGACAAGUUCGUUUUACCCUACUGAUGAUGUGUUGUUGCAAUAGUAAUCCUGCUCAGUACGAGAGGAACUGCAGAUUCAGACAAUUGGUGUUUGUGCUUGGCUGAGGAGCCAAUGGGGUGAAGCCACCAUCUGUGGGAUUAUGACUGAAUGCCUCGAAGUCAGAAUCCCCCCUACCCGUAAGAAUACUGCAGAGCUGUGGAGCCUCGGUUGGCCUAGGAUAGCCGGCCUCUGGGCCGGUGCGUAGAGCCGCUUGCCUCAGGACUCAAGUGUGAACAGAAGGGGACCACCUCUUUCGCCUGUAGUGCACUGC
rnacentral:rRNA from 1 species